UGUGUGACCAGGUUCUCUGAAUGGACCCAGAAUACACGCAAUGGGGAGUUCUAGAAGGGAAAGGGGCCGGGCUCGGAGGUAAAAGACACGCUCACCAGAUUGGCAUGGAUCACAGCGAUUCCCUCAAGCCUCCAUCUGCCUGGAAAUGCCUAGUGGUAUAUUCCUCACGGUCCAGAACCUUCAACCUGUGAGCCAGUAGUUUUAGCUAUCCCACCCAGUCACAAACCUUCACCCUGGGGAGGCCACAGAGAGAACAGCGGGAGGCAGAGGCAUCCCCAUUUGAAACUGCAACCAUUCUGAGAUUUCUGACCAACUCCCCAGUGGGAGCUCUGUGUAGGCAGAAGAGAGGCUCUGUCUGUCCUGAGAGGUGGCUUGUACGGCUCCAGAUCACCCCAGCAGUGUGUGUUCUCUUCUGUCCUCUGAAUGCCAAGAGAUGACUCCACUCACUCCUUAAGACAUCUUGAAUUCCUAACUCCAGCUCAUCUGUUUCCCAGAAACCCCAGCAGCUCUAACUCCUAAAGCAUGUUCGCAAAAACAUUCCAGGCUAAAGAUUCUUUGGCUUGUUUUCUGUUGGAUAGUGACUGUUAAUGUCCUUGGGCUUCCUCAUAAAGUACAGGUGUUGGCCCCUGUGCAAGAGCAACUGAGAGUGGAUCUCCUGGCAUUUGGGAGCCACCAAUUCUCAUACUAGUUUAGGAGCUCAGGGAUAUGGAGCUGGGGUGACUGAGAUCUUUGCAUGUAUGUCUUGGGUAAGAUCGGUGAGAGGACAUUCAAUACCUGCCCCCAUGGAGCCACAGGU